AGUGUUCGUGCGCGUCUUCCAUCGGUUUAGGGAUCUAAGCAAGGGGUGCGUGCGACGGACCCCGAGGGCGGCCAGCUGGGUGUGGCAGGGUGGCGGCGGGGCUGUGGCGGGCCCCGAUGGCGGCCAGCUAGAGCUGCGGUAUGGUGCCGGCGGGGUAUGGCGGUACGGAGAUGGCGCGGCGGGCUGCGUCGGUACGGAGAUUUGCGGCGGCACGGAGAUAUCGCGGCGAGGUGCGGCAGGACGGGGAAGUCGCGUCGGGUUGCAGCAGGACGUAGAGGUGACGGCCGGGUUGCGGAAGGACGAGAGAGAGGCCCACCGGCGGAGAGAGGUGCCGGUGUAGAUCGUGUCAACGGCGGAAGGAGGGACCGGGCUGGAGGGGGUACAGGUGGUGCUUUCGUGUGCGUCGCCACCGCCGCUAAACCUAGCCCCGUCGCACGCCGACCCGUUCCCGUAGCUACGCCGACUCCCUUUCCUCAUGAGGCCGCCGCCCCUUGCCCCUCGAGGCCGCCACCCUUUGCUCAUCUACAAGGUCACCUGUUCCGUGGAGUACGAAAAUAAUAAGAGACCAAGAGGCUAAACGACACAUGACGACGGUCGAUCAGACUAACACUCUUCGAAAUACCGUCGCUAUACUUGAUUAAAAUCUUCAACUCGACAACACACGUUUAAAACAAAUAAAGGUCACGUUUAAAACACCAUGGCUAUACUUGAUUAGAAAAAAAAGGUAACCAGUAAAUCAAGUGGAAAGUGAUUCUCAGUACAAAUGCCACAAUGAGAACAAUACGAAGACGGGUUCUAUUCAAUUAAAAACGAGAAGGUUUUUCCAAGGGGCCUAUACAAAGGACAAAACACGAAUCAAACGGUACUACACAAAUCAGACGGUGGCACAAAUCACAGAGAAACACGAACUAUUCUCCUAACAAGUUUACAUUUUUGAAAGAAAAAUGUACUCUACUGUACCGAAAACGGGGGACAAAAGCGACUGAACCAAAGACGUCCAUCGUAUCACAUAUUGACGACCAUUGUAACUCAGCAGUUCCUCUUCAUCGUCCUCCUUUUUACCGUUCGCGUUCACCUUCGCCUUUUCGAUUUCCACCACCCCCAGUACCUCCUUGUAGACUUUCGCCAUUCUCCAUGUUCAAACUACGGCGCGACUAACUACGUGUUGAAUACUUUUCUACACUGUCAUCUUAAUCACUUCGACUGACCUUCUUGGAAUAAUGAAUGACCUCUAGAAGCCAUAAACUUCGACAGUUUGAACAGGUAGUCGGAGCUUCUCUAGUUCAAAUAUAGCUCUGUUUAUGUACGUUCUUUCCCCUAUUCUUUCCCUCAAUACACGGCGUCCGUCUUCGUUGUUAAUUUAUAGAGCAUCUCUUUCGACUUUUCGCGUGACUUACCUUCCUUUUUCGUAAGUUCUUCCACUAGACAAACGUGUACAUACACCUUACUUCCUCGGUUCCCCAGCACAAGCAUGAAGACAUACGUACCUGACCAGUACUUUGAGGACAACGAGUCCGUUGUUAAAGGUUUAAACUGGGCAUAAACCAGUCCGUUCCUUACCGAUUUCCAUGCGCGCGAAAAUUUUAAAGAUCUUCCCAUGGGGAAAAGGACAGUCACUACAAGUUCGAUCUCUUACAAGAGGUUACUCUACUUCCUACUUCCGAAACUACAGUUCACGUUCUUGCUACGUUGCUAGAACGACCUUCCGACACUCCUACCCAUACAUCAACGGGUGAUGUUCCUCGGUUCCGUCUACUACAUAACGUCUUUUUUUUCGCUGUUUGAAAACGAGAGUCUGUCACUUGAUAGUACAAAGGAGAUAAAUUAAUCAAUGUAAUCAAAUAAAUAUCCUUUGAACCGACCGGUAAGCAAGUAUUGAUAACUUGAUAAAUAUACACUUUUAAUUACUUACACACACUGAUAACAAACCA
rnacentral:rRNA from 1 species